GUGCAGGACACACCGCAGUCAGUCGAUCCCUCCUUAUCUCCAUGUCCCCUCCUCUAUCCCUUUCUCUACAACGGUCGCCUCGCCUUCUUCCUUGCUACUCCGUCUUCUUCUUCUUGCAACUCUCCGGCCGCUUCUCGGUUUCUUUAGGAUCCGCUCUGCUGGAAACUUGGUUAGCUUGAUCGAGCCUUCAAUGCCUUCGCAUUGUUGAGUUACGUUUCGAACGCGGGCGUGGAAAAGGAUUCAUUUCGUGGAAACGCGGCCGAGUGAAUUCGCGCGUCUAGGCGAAUGAUUAGUGGAUCGAGUCGAAGGGGAAAAAAGGGAGAGUUAGAGAUGAUCUUGGAGAUAUUGGGAUUUAUAUAUCUACGGAGGCUAACCUCGGCACGCGCUCGAGAACCAGUCGAUCGUAGAUGCUGAUCCUAUCUGCGAGCGAUCUGCCUUUUCGAGGAUAGAUUGUUUUUCUACGGAUAGAUCGAGCACGGUUUCCUGGACCCGCGAUGAUAUAUGUACGCCUCGCAGGAAUCUAUCCGAGUACGAAUCUUGGUUCUUUCGAUUUAUUAUGGUAUAAUAUCGUAAUAACUUCGUAACGAGGCAUCCCAUAAUUGACGUACCGUUUAAUUUUUUUCCCCUCGAUACCAAACGCGCACGAAAGAAACCACGAUAACGAAAGAAUGCCGGCGAAUCACGAGCCGGCUUCCUGGUUACGCGUUAUCGAUUCCCGGUAGCUUUCGACGCGUCCAAAUGAAUCUAUAAAACGUCGAGAAACUCAUCUUCGAUGCAGGAGGAUGAACGCUGCGCUCCGUGGAGGAUGGCACGGUGGAGGAGGCGAGGGGGACGAAGAAGAAGAGGGACAAAGUGCCGAGAGUCGGAGGAUUGGUGUUGGUGGCCAAGGUGUAGUGGUGGUGGUGGUGGUGGUGGGGCCUGAUGCAGGUGUUGGCCUUGGGCUCCCUAACACCAAGCCUACAAUCUCUAAGGCUCUCGCCUAUAUACGUUUGCCGGUCGAUUCUGCGCGCAACCCACCACCUUCCGUUCCUCGAUUUUAAAGCCAUAACGCAACACCGCCAAUCCGUGUCUUUGUUUAGGAAUCGAGACGCAGAAUCUAUUGGCGGUAAAUAAGUAAGUAAGUAAGUAAGUAAGCGAGUAAAAAAAUAUUAUUAGCCAAGCUGGGGGAGAUAGGAUUCGAAGGAAAGAGAGAAGGAAAAGAAAAAUAUGUCUCUUUCCUCACCUCGCUCGUGGGAAUUGAAACGAUUUAAUUCGUCGAGAAACUGAAAGAAAGGGUAUCCUCCCCGCGCCUACGCGAUCAAGGACCAUGCGAGAUACGAUUAGAACGGAGAGGGCAAGGACAAUCGAUUCUUUUCAUCGCGAGCCAGAGCUCGGGAAUUGAUUGAUUUUAAUUCAAAAGACUCUUUACUCUCUCGAUUGAUCCGUUGCGCGAUUUUAUCGUUUAUCUCGGCGAGAUUCGUAUAUGAUCGCAUUGGUAUUAGGUGGUUGAGAGUAUAUACGUGUCUUCGUGUUUUGGGUUGAACGAACUUUCAUAUAUAUAGAUAGUUAGAAACUAAUGUUGGAAUUAUCGAGUCGCAACUUGUACUUAGUCACCGGAUAGCUAUUAGUAGUAUACACGAAAUCGUGUUUCUAUCUCGAUAAAUCAACACGAAAAAAUACGCGUGUACGCGUUUAGAAUCGAAGAAAAAUUCCGAUACUUAUCAUUUUGACAACCGAGAAUUUCCGUUCCGCAACACCGUCCUAUUUGUUAUUAACGGUACUAAAAAAUCUUUCACUCGGUCAACAAAGAUAUUUUUUAUCGAAACAGCUUUGUUGCGAUCGCAUCGCCUUUCGACACUCUCGCCAAACAACUCAAUUAUCUCAUACGAUCUCCAACCCCGCGGACAGAGUCACCCAACCAUCUCGACGGUACACGAUUUCUUACUCUCCCAAUUCCUAUACAAACAACCGUAUUACACCAACUUUUAACCGAUGAAAAUGAGCGACUGACAUCACGUGUAUGCAAUGUAUGCAGAGCUCGUACGAGCGUGCAUAAUACCGCGAGCGUGUAGCUAGCUCAGAGAUCGUACUAAUAUUUGUAGAAGCUGCGAGAAUCCUCCAACUUUGGAUCUCGAGCGCGAAUUUAUCCAAUGUGCUCGUCUAUUAGAGUUAUCUCGCAUCGUAGGUCUCGUUAUUCUGCUAGUCGUUCUCUUAUGCAAAAUAGACAGAGGAGGAUCGAUCGGAACAGAGGCCUUGGAGAAAGUGGAGAGACGCGCGAGGUUCGCCUGCGAGCAGAGCCAACUCGCGCCUUUCCACCGACCAGGAGAGAAUAAAUUACCGCGGUACCGUUAUUGUCUCAGUCCAGGAGAGCCCGCCGUGUCUUUAUUUGUGGAAAUUGUUCGUUCCAGGUUUAUACCCAGUGCGUUUGUUGUUAGAACGAGGAGAAAAUAUUAUAGAAAGAAGGAAAUUGUAGGGAAGUAAUCUUUGAAUCCUUUUUUUUUGGAAUUCUUUUUCAAAAUUCACUUUCAAAGAUAUAAUCUCAAAAACAAUUAUCCAGAAUUUUUACUAGUCGAAGUAUAUUCAUCUAUGAUUAAUAUUCUUUCCUUGAUUUUGGUAAAUCUACAAUAUUGAAAUACAGUAAUAGACAACAGUGAACGACGAAUACGAUUAAAAUCAUUGACAUCGAUAAAAAUUAUUCUCCACAGCGUUUCUGUUUUAACAAACAGAAAAACAUAAAUCCUAAGAGAGAUUCUACACGGACUCUACUAUAUCCGUCAGCCCCACCGUUUAAUAAUUUACUGUUGCGUCGCAACACGAUCCGAAGAGGAACGUUCCCGGUAGAAUCCCGAGGAGUACGAGAUGCUCGGUGCUCGCGUGAACGUAACUUAAAGAUUACCUCCGUGGAUCGUGCGAUUCGUGACGUCAGCUCCGGCCACGUGUCGAAGAGGGAAGGGGGAGAAGAGGUCGAGGAGGUCCGGCAUGACCGGUGGUUCCGCGAACAGAUAAUUUCAGGAUACGGACAAAGAGAUGUGGCCGGUGAUCGUCGCGCGCAUCCUGCGCCACGAUACACAUCGAGGUUGCACCCGCGAGCUAUCCGUUUAAAAUUUAAUCUCUCAACGGACAACGAACCACCGCUCCAACUAUCGUAUUAAAACGAUUUCCUUCGGUAUUCUCGUUAAAAAAGAAACCACUGGACUAUUGACUAUUCGAGACGUUUUAAAUCGGGUACGAGCCAUUAUACGAUCGAGCGUUUCUCAAAGAUGUGGAAGAGGGAACGGAGUAGUAAACAAGCGAACGAAUUAUCCGAGGCCGUGAACCGGCUGGACACGAAGCUAAUCCCUUGAUGGAAUCCCUCGAUAAUUCGUGGUUGGACACGGAGGAAGAGAUACGGGUGUCAACGAAGAAACGAUCGUGUUCGCGUCACGCGUCUAAUCAUUGGUUAUCGAGCUAACGACAGUCUAGGAACGGGUAAUGAUACGAAUCGCGCUACAAAGAGUGCACGCGUGCAUUAGCGGUGGAUCUCUCUGACAGCGAUGGAUGAUGCGAGCCAAGUUUUCUGACGCUCUCCUUCUCUUCCUGUUCACGGCCACGGUUAUCUAAGAGAUAUUGAAGAUCAUUAAUAAAUGAUCACGUAUCUUAUACUUUAAAUAUUCCAAGUUAUAUAAAUCGUUCAACAAACGGUAUUCAACAAUAUCGAAUCUUCAAAUAAUCAGAUUUAUCGAUAUUUUAUAAAUUCCGAUACUUCCAAAAAGAAAUGAAUUCGCGUUAUUUGCGUAUAAUUUUAUUAAAUUUGAUCAAAGUCUCUCUCUACUUCCUCCUAUUAUCGAUCUAUUAAAAAUUGCGCGAUGUGUACGGGCCCUAAGGUUCUCGUGACGCCGCAGCAGCCUCGGCUCGGUGCGCGGCUCGUGACGUCAGUGGUGACCACGUGCUGAACAAGAGGGAGAGUCGGCCAGAGAGGAGAAGCCACUCCGUGCCUCUCUCGUAUCGUAUGGAGCGUGGCCCCGGGGAUCAAGGACGGUUUUACUCGCGAGAAGCGGAGAGCCGCGUGUCCCUGCAUCUCUGGUCGUCGUCGUGUUGUGUGCAGCUGAGAGUGCACACAUCGCAGUGGCGGAGGGACGUUGAAGGAGGGCCAGGACCGUGUCACGGGGCGAGGGACGGGGUAGGAGGGCGACGAGGGAGGGGAAGGUAGCGGGAGUACAGAAGUGGUGGAGGAGGAGGAGGAGGCGAGGUGGGGAGAGGGAGAAAGGUUUGCAACGAGAACGAGUAGGGAGGAAAGGAGAGAGGGAGAGUUAUAAUGCUCCUCGCGUCCACUGUCCCUAGGUGGAGGGAAGGAGAGAUGGACAAGACGAGGAAGAGAGAGGCAGAGGUAAAGUACCUCGUUCCCUCUCCCUCCUUCCACCACUCUUCUCUCCCACUCCACCGUUGCUUGUCGUGCCUCGUGGCCUCUUUCUCUCGCUCCCUCGCCACCCGAUUUCGACCUCUUCGUCGCUCCUCUCGACGGAGAUAAAGAGAGUAGAAGCAGAAAAAAAAAGAAUCGUGCGGCGGAGAGAGGAGGGUGCACGGGCGAGGGAGGGAAGGAGAGGAAGGUUAGGAAAACGUGUCCCAGCCUGCACGACCCGGUACACUCACCUCCAACAAUUCUGACCAUAACAUUAGGAGGAACAAGCCGGAAUCGCGAAACAUCGCGCUGAAACACCUGGUUCUGGCUCGCUCGUUACCACGGGGAGCGUGAUAAAACGUUACCUGUUGCUGCGCGCGUUUAGAAAAAUGUCGUUACCCUUCAUUUUUCUCUUUCUUUCCUUCUUUUUUCCUCGCGUUUCGCUCGCUGUUCUUCACUCUGCCUCACUCUUGUCGUUCGUUGUACCCCGAGAGAUGUUAACGCUGUGGUCGAAACGGAUGACGAAACGACAUUGAGGAAAGACGUCACUGAUGAUUAUGUGUCGCGUAAACGAUUACAAUUUACGAUCCAAUUUCGUGUACGUGUUUAUCCUUAGAAUUAAUAUACUAGCGCCUAUUAGAAUGAAUUUUUUUUUUUCUUUUAAAUUAGACCGUAUCGUUUAUUUUCUUCUGCUCGAGAGCAUUACACGGAGAAGAUAUAAAGCGAGAAGGCAAAAAAAGAAAUGAACAUGCGCCAUUAAAUAUUAUGUCCCGCUCAUCUGGCAGCUAAGUGGCGACCCCAUCUGGAUGCGAUCGUUCGGUUAUGCAAAGCUUUCCGUGCGGAAUUAUACAAAAAGCGCGGCAACGCUGCGCGCGCUCGAUUUGGAACCAAAUCCACGAGGCGCCUCGACGCCUCGCGUCCACGCAACGAUCUUCUUCCGUCACGAGUCACGGUGGGGAAGGUUGAUAAAACGUGUUCGAACUUGUUCGAACCUGUACAGUCGAGUCCAACGGAUGGAGAACCGAGGCGAGACGCGACAAGGCAGGACGAUCCUUCGCAUUUAAAUACAACGUAGAAUGUGAUUUAAUCGAUGUAAUAUUUAAUUAACCAAUUCGUGGUAAAAAGUUAGAUUCUAUAUAGCACGCGUUAAAAUAUUCUGACUCUCAGGUUUAUAAAUAUUAAUUGCCUACAAUA